rnacentral:rRNA from 1 species
AGAGUUUGAUCCUGGCUCAGAAUCAACGCUGGCGGCGCGCUUAACACAUGCAAGUCGAACGGGAAAGUGGAGCAAUCCAUGAGUAUAGUGGCGUACGGGUGAGUAACACGUGGGUAUCUAACUCUUAGUGGGGAAUAACGCUGGGAAACCGGCGCUAAUACCGCAUAAGCUCGAGAGAGGAAAGCAGCAAUGCGCUGAGAGAGGAGCCCGCGGCCGAUUAGCUAGUUGGCAGGGUAAAAGCCUACCAAGGCAGAGAUCGGUAGCCGGCCUGAGAGGGCACACGGCCACACUGGCACUGAAACACGGGCCAGACUCCUACGGGAGGCAGCAGUGGGGAAUCUUGCACAAUGGGGGCAACCCUGAUGCAGCGACGCCGCGUGAGCGAUGAAGCCCUUCGGGGUGUAAAGCUCUUUCGUCAGGGAAGAUCAUGACGGUACCUGGAGAAGCAGCUGCGGCUAACUACGUGCCAGCAGCCGCGGUAAUACGUAGGCAGCGAGCGUUGUUCGGAGUUACUGNCGCGUAAAGGGUGUGUAGGCGGUUCUUUAAGUUUGGCGUGAAAUCUCCCGGGCUCAACCGGGAGGGUGCGUCNAAUACUGAGGGACUAGAGUNCGGGAGAGGAAAGUGGAAUUCCUGGGUGUAGCGGUGAAAUGCNUAGAUAUCAGGAGGAACACCGGGUGGUGUAGACGGCUU